rnacentral:ncRNA from 1 species
AUCUUUACCUUGUAAGGGGCGGCAUAUAAGGAAACUUAUAUGUGAUUACUUGUCAAAUUCGGGGAAGCCGUUAGCGGGGUAAUCCCGAGCCAAGCUCCAAAGUUAAAAGGAGAAGGUGUAGAGACUGGUUGGCAGGUACUCUAACAGUUCUAUUUUAGUUUUAUAGAAGCUGAGGGUAAAGGGACAGUCCAGACCACAAACUAAUUCUAA